UACAGAGGUCUCAAGCGUUGUUCGGAUUCACUGGGUUUAAAGGGUGCGUAGGCGGAUAGGUAAGUCCGUGGUGAAAUCCUGCAGCUUAACUGCAGAACUGCCGUGGAUACUAUCUAUCUUGAAUAUCGUGGAGGUUAGCGGAAUAUGUCAUGUAGCGGUGAAAUGCUUAGAUAUGACAUAGAACACCCAUUGCGAAGGCAGCUAACUACGCGAUCAUUGACGCUGAUGCACGAAAGCGUGGGGAUCAAACAGG
rnacentral:rRNA from 1 species